rnacentral:rRNA from 1 species
AUUGAACGCUGGCGGCAUGCCUUACACAUGCAAGUCGAACGGCAGCGCGGACUUCGGUCUGGCGGCGAGUGGCGAACGGGUGAGUAAUACAUCGGAACGUACCCUGUUGUGGGGGAUAACUAGUCGAAAGAUUAGCUAAUACCGCAUACGACCUGAGGGUGAAAGUGGGGGACCGCAAGGCCUCACGCAGCAGGAGCGGCCGAUGUCUGAUUAGCUAGUUGGUGGGGUAAAGGCCCACCAAGGCGACGAUCAGUAGCUGGUCUGAGAGGACGGUCAGCCACACUGGGACUGAGACACGGCCCAGACUCCUACGGGGGGCGGCAGUGGGGAAUUUUGGACAAUGGGGGCAACCCUGAUCCAGCAAUGCCGCGUGUGUGAAGAAGGCCUUCGGGUUGUAAAGCACUUUUGUCCGGAAAGAAAUCGCGCUGGUUAAUACCUGGCGUGGAUGACGGUACCGGAAGAAUAAGCACCGGCUAACUACGUGCCAGCAGCCGCAGUAA